rnacentral:rRNA from 1 species
GUUAGGAAUCUUCCACAAUGGGGGCAACCCUGAUGGAGCAACACCGCGUGCUGGAUGAAGGCCUUCGGGUCGUAAACAGCUUUUGUAUACGAAGAAUAUGACGGUAAUAUACGAAUAAGGGUCGGCUAACUACGUGCCAGCAGCCGCGGUCAUACGUAGGACCCAAGCGUUAUCCGGAGUGACUGGGCGUAAAGAGUUGCGUAGGCGGCUUAUUAAGCGAGUAGUGAAAUCUGGUGGCUCAACCAUCAACACAUUGCUCGAACUGAUAUGCUUGAGAAUGGUAGAGGUAGUUGGAAUUUCUUGUGUAGGAGUGAAAUCCGUAGAUAUAAGAAGGAACACCAAUGGCGUAGGCAGACUACUGGACCAUUUCUGACGCUGAGGCACGAAAGCGUGGGGAGCGAACCGGAUUAGAUACCCCGGUAGUCC